CCCGCUCCUACGCACUCGCCCAUUCCGGCGGAACUGCUGCUGGAGUUUGACGCCCAACGACCACACUGUGAGACAUCCCCUGCGCGGCGCCUGCCCAUAAUCCCCGCUUCGCCGGCAGCAACUUCUCCCAUGCCCUACCCCUCAAAUGCCAUCCCUGGUUCUGGUCCUGCCCCCUCCGCCCCUUACCACCGUAAUCGAUGCCAGGUGAGGAUCUACGCCGGACCCCUACCCCUUCAUGCUGCUGCUCACGAAGGCUGCGAUUCCAGGUGAGUACAAUCGCUCACUUCCAGGUGAGAUCCAACUCGGCAUAAGGACGGCGGCGGCCUCUCUUCCAGCCACCGGUUGGAGUUCCUCUUCUCCCUCCUCCCUACCACACAAGCUUUCUUGUAGGAUCUAGAGUGCAGAAGCGAUGCAUUUUUAAGGCAGAAAAUAGACCCUUUUCCGUGGUGCAAGCCGUGGUCUAAUCCACACGAUUCUAGGCAAUGCUAGUUGUGUAUUGUCAAAGAAAUGAUUAUUUUUUGUCAUCCUCUCGUGAUACAAUGCAUAUAUGAGAUAAAAAUAUGGGUGUUAAGACAGUUUAACCUACAGGCAGAUACCAUUUAUUUUGGUGUUUUAUUUUACCCUGCUAUUUUGGCUCAGACUUGAUCAUAUCACCUAAUAGCUAGUUGACUAUAUAACUUACUCCCGACAUGAACGAAAAUUACCACAAAUUUUAGACUGCGCUGCACCUAUUAUUCGAGCAGACUGAAGAUCUGUCACAAGGAAUGUCGCUGUUCAUGAAGACUAUUAUACUGUCUUCUCACCAUUUUUGCAUUUGUAUAAGAUUAUUCUUUUGAAAUCCAAUAAUUAUCCCUUCUGUAAAUGGAUGUUUACUCUGUGACUCUGUUUGUAUAUAUGAACCCAAUUUUUGACAAAUUAUUCCAUGUUUUGUAUCAUUACUCCUUAGGACUUCAAUUAUUAUUCCUUUGGUCUCCACUGCUUAUUCCAUGUGUAUAUGGUCAAUUACUCCCUAACUGUGUUUAUAUGUUGGUAUCACAUAUAUGCAAUGAAAAAUAUUGUAUUUCAACAAUUUCUUUCAACAACAAUAUCCGCGUAUCUAUUUUUUUAUUUCUUUGACAAGAGUAUCUAGUAUUUCGAACCUGUUGCCGUUGAUGCAUAUAUUUACGGUUCAGAAAAUGAAGCAUGUCUCUUGCAAAUCCGGCCCGCCAUGGAAGAAAAGCAAGUGAGGAUGCACCACUGCUAGUUUGGUCAUGGUGGAGCACAGAACAGAAGCCAGCUAGAUGGGUGAUGGAUUCAUAGUGGAGCUCUCGUGCAAGAGAGCUUAUACGCCCUCCACUACCACUGUAUUAGUGGGGCAUCAUCUUUCUAGGAAAAAUUGGACAACUGCAUUAUGUUUGUGUGACUAGCUUGUACAACGCAUAAAUUUUAUUGAAUCAAAUUACGUGUGAUCACUGAGCAGCUA